AAAUUUUGUAAAUUUAGUUACAGUAAUCAAAUUUAGGUUAGAAACUCUUAUUCUCUUUACUUACAUACCACAGUUUCUCAAUCCACAUAAAAAACUUCGUACUUCAUACAUGUUACGCACAUUCAUACUAUGUUUCAAUGUGAUUUCAUAUGGAUUGUAUUGGAUUGUAUUUGUGGAUUGAAUAGCGUUGAAAACAGAAACAAAUUUCUAACGUAAGUUCAUCGGGUGUACUAAAAUCUGU